GCGGGUGUGGUGUAUGGUACAUGGCUGUCAUGAUUAAGUUUGCGACAAGUUUGAUGCAGCAGACUCCGGUUCGAUUCCCGGCACCCGCA